AUUGGACGCUGGCGGCAGGCCUAACACAUGCAAGUCGAACGGUAGCACAGAGAGCUUGCUCUCGGGUGACGAGUGGCGGACGGGUGAGUAAUGUCUGGGAAACUGCCCGAUGGAGGGGGAUAACUACUGGAAACGGUAGCUAAUACCCCAUAACGUCGCAAGACCAAAGUGGGGGACCUUCGGGCCUCACACCAUCGGAUGUGCCCAGAUGGGAUUAGCUAGUAGGUGGGGUAAUGGCUCACCUAGGCGACGAUCCCUAGCUGGUCUGAGAGGAUGACCAGCCACACUGGAACUGAGACACGGUCCAGACUCCUACGGGAGGCAGCAGUGGGGAAUAUUGCACAAUGGGCGCAAGCCUGAUGCAGCCAUGCCGCGUGUAUGAAGAAGGCCUUCGGGUUGUAAAGUACUUUCAGCGGGGAGGAAGGCGGUGAAGUUAAUAGCUUCACCGAUUGACGUUACCCGCAGAAGAAGCACCGGCUAACUCCGUGCCAGCCGCCGCGGUAA
rnacentral:rRNA from 1 species